rnacentral:rRNA from 1 species
GACGAACGCUGGCGGCGUGCUUAACACAUGCAAGUCGAACGGCAAGGCCCUGCUUUUGUGGGGUGCUCGAGUGGCGAACGGGUGAGUAACACGUGAGUAACCUGCCCUUGACUUUGGGAUAACUUCAGGAAACUGGGGCUAAUACCGGAUAGGAGCUCCUGCUGCAUGGUGGGGGUUGGAAAGUUUCGGCGGUUGGGGCUGGACUCGCGGCUUAUCAGCUUGUUGGUGGGGUAGUGGCUUACCAAGGCUUUGACGGGUAGCCGGCCUGAGAGGGUGACCGGCCACAUUGGGACUGAGAUACGGCCCAGACUCCUACGGGAGGCAGCAGUGGGGAAUAUUGCACAAUGGGCGGAAGCCUGAUGCAGCAACGCCGCGUGCGGGAUGACGGCCUUCGGGUUGUAAACCGCUUUCGCCUGUGACGAAGCGUGAGUGACGGUAAUGGGUAAAGAAGCACCGGCUAACUACGUG